AGGGAGGCAAAGCCGCGAGGCAGAGCAAACCCCUAAAAAGCCAUCCCAGUUCGGAUUGCAGGCUGCAACCCGCCUGUAUGAAGUUGGAAUCGCUAGUAAUCGCGGAUCAGCAUGCCGCGGUGAAUACGUUCCCGGGCCUUGUACACACCGCCCGUCACACCAUGAGAGUCGGGAACACCCGAAGUCCGUAGCCUAACCGCAAGGAGGGCGCGGCCGAAGGUGGGUUCGAUAAUUGGGGUGAAGUCGUAACAAGGUAUC
rnacentral:rRNA from 1 species